rnacentral:rRNA from 1 species
UACGAAGGGGGCUAGCGUUGCUCGGAAUUACUGGGCGUAAAGGGAGCGUAGGCGGACUGUUAAGUUAGAGGUGAAAGCCCAGGGCUCAACCUUGGAAUUGCCUUUGAUACUGGCAGUCUUGAGUACGGAAGAGGUAUGUGGAACUCCGAGUGUAGAGGUGAAAUUCGUAGAUAUUCGGAAGAACACCAGUGGCGAAGGCGACAUACUGGCUCAUUACUGACGCUGAGGCUCGAAAGCGUGGGGAGCAAACAGG